UGGGCUUGACAUGUGGGUGACCGCCGUGGAAACACGGCUUCCCUUCGGGGCACCUUCACAGGUGGUGCAUGGCUGUCGUCAGCUCGUGUCGUGAGAUGUUGGGUUAAGUCCCGCAACGAGCGCAACCCCCGUCGCAUGUUGCCAGCAUUUAGUUGGGGACUCAUGCGAGACUGCCGGUGACAAACCGGAGGAAGGUGGGGAUGACGUCAAGUCAUCAUGCCCCUUAUGUUCAGGGCUACACACGUGCUACAUUGGCGCAUACAGAGGGCUGCGAUACCGCGAGGUGGAGCGAAUCCCUUAAAGUGCGUCUCGGUUCGGAUUGCAGGCUGAAACCCGCCUGCAUGAAGGUGGAGUUGCUAGUAAUCGCGGAUCAGCAUUGCCGCGGUGAAUACGUUCCCGGGCC
rnacentral:rRNA from 1 species